UGAGGAAUAUUGCGCAAUGGGGGAAACCCUGACGCAGCAACGCCGCGUGGGUGAAGAAGGCCUUCGGGUUGUAAAGCCCUGUCAGGUGGGAAGAAACCUCGGUAGGUGAAUAGUCUACCGAACUGACGGUACCACCAAAGGAAGCACCGGCUAACUCCGUGCCAGCAGCCGCGGUAAGACGGAGGGUGCAAGCGUUGUUCGGAAUUACUGGGCGUAAAGAGCGUGUAGGCGGUCUGGUAAGUCGAGUGUGAAAGCCCGAGGCUCAACUUCGGAAGUGCACUCGAAACUGUCAGGCUUGAGUACGGGAGAGGGAAGUGGAAUUCCUGGUGUAGAGGUGAAAUUCGUAGAUAUCAGGAGGAACACCGGUGGCGAAGGCGGCUUCCUGGACCGAUACUGACGCUGAGACGCGAAAGCGUGGGGAGCAAACAGG
rnacentral:rRNA from 1 species